GAUCUUCUGAGCCCCGUCCGCACGGCUCUCCCUCCUCCUGCAAGCCGUGAAUCAGCGCUCUCCUCCUCCUCCUCUCUCCGCUGCGAUAGCGCAGGAAAUCUAUGAUGUCGCUCCUGUAGUGUGCCUGUCGGCGGUUGAAGCCCUGGAUCAGUUUCAUUAAAACGUCUGGCAUGCAGUCAGAAGCAGCAGCAGAAAAUCUGGAGCAGGGAACGAUACAGUAUAGCACAAGAGAAUAGUGCUGCACUUGCACUUUGUGAUUUGUAUUUUCCCCCUCUCUCCGUGCUGCGUUCGGCACUCUGCACAUGCUGAUAAUUUGUAAGCUCGAGUUGCAACAACUUCAGUGGAAAAAAACAGCCAGGCAAUGACACAGUGGGCCUGGCUGGUGAGAGGAAGAGGGAGGGAGGGCGGAGGAGGGAGAGGUCAUCAGGGGAGUUAACAGUGACAUCACCCCUGGGCAACAUCCACUUACGACGGUCAGUAAUGAAUAGUGAAGUUGUGAAAUGAGAAAGGUAAAGAGUCACCUCGCAUCAGGAUCUGAAGUCCUUGCAGCUGGAGGGCCACUUCCUGUCACCAGUGAAGGUGUGAUGGUGGCGGUCACACACAGAGCAAAGCACCAAACCUGUUGAGGACUCGGUCAAGAAGAUGCAUAGGACGAAGGGUUACAACUGUUACGCCUGCUAGGGUUUUAAGUAUCUGUUUUAGACUUUUCUACCUUUACCACCAGUGUGAUGCAGGUGAACUGACACACGUGGUGUUCACGACACACAAAACAUGAAAAACCACAAAAGCAAGAAGAUGGUCCGGUUACUGUGGGAUAAUGGUUCCCAGAUUUUGUCCGUCUUUUGUGCCUUUAUCACAUCCAUGAGUCGUGAACAGUUCAAUAAAAGAAUGAUUUCCCCCUUUCAGGUUAGUUAAUCUGCAAAAUGUUUUAAAGCCUUCAGAGGCAAAACUGUCAGAUGUAACAAGACGAAAGCAAAGAUUAAAGAAAGGUCUGGAAAAGAAA